GUUAUAAGAAGAAGUCCUCUCUAAAAUAUUUAGAGACAAAGUUUUCCAAAGUUUUUGAAAAAUGAUGGAAAAGAGGAGUCGAUCGACAGUAAGAGUUGACUCUGGUGCACCCUUCCACAAGUCGAUCAUAGCAAACUAUGGAUCACCUCAGAAUAGUCCCAGGGUGUAGAUAGAGAGUUGUAAAAUUGGGACUUUCCAUAAUUCAAUCCUAGC
rnacentral:lncRNA from 1 species